ensembl:lincRNA
GCUGCACAAUGGUGGAAAACCAUAGUUUAUGAAAUAGCUACACAACUCAAUGAGAGUGGAAGCAAGUAACACAGGUGUUCAAUAAAAAAUCUGAGAAAACAAAGAAUUGCUCCCACGAAAUACAUGGGGAAACUACAAUUCAACGUGGGUUACCUUUAAGUAGUGAAAUUAUAAUCUUUUAAGUUAUAUUUUUCUUUCUUCUGUAAAAUAUUUUGUAGCUAUGAACAGAAAUAAGUUGUGUGUUUCAUACGAGACAUUCUGUUAGCACGGAGAGGGUUGGUCGUGUGAGGGGGUCUCAUUCCCACAGAGCCCCUUCCCUCCCAAGGGCAGGGCAGGGGCAGGCAAGGGGAGGAAAGUCUUGUGCCUCCCUGUCUGGCCAGCAGAGGCAGCAAGGAGCGGAGGAGAACUUCUUUUCUUGCCUUCCCUCCUCACAUGGCGCUGUGGGAAGUCUGUGACAUCCUGUCCAGACUUCGGCUUGUGGCUCUGGUCAGAGUUAUGACGCCCCAGGCCCUGGCGUCCACCCUGCUCCUCUGUGUGCAGCUGCUGUUCGUGCAGACCCGGGGAGGCCACCGUGAACGUGACUGGAAGAGGACGCAGAAAACACAAGUAGUCCCCGAAAUCAAGCGCUGUGAGAAGCCACCCGAAUUCCAUCAGUGCAACCGCCAGUGUGAAGAUCACCGCGACUGCCAAGCCAACAACGUGUGCUGUUCCACCUUCUGCGGGAACAUUUGCAUGAGCCUCCCGGGAGUGGGGGUGGGUCGUGCUUCCUGCUCACCUCAACCCCCCACUCACAGGCUAAGUGCACACCAGAAGCACAAGGAUCUCACAUCAAGGAUCCUAGGAUGUCAACAAGAACGCAGCCCUCCCCAUUGUUUGUUCCCCACAACCCUGUAAAAAAAACCCGG